GAUGACCUACGCUGGUCGGCAGAGCAUGAGAUUCUUAAUCUCAGGGUUGUGGGUUCAAGUCCCAUGUCG